ACGGGUGAGUAACACGUGGGUGAUCUGCCCUGCACUUUGGGAUAAGCCUGGGAAACUGGGUCUAAUACCGAAUAUGAUCACGGGCUUCAUGGUCUGUGGUGGAAAGCUUUUGCGGUGUGGGAUGGGCCCGCGGCCUAUCAGCUUGUUGGUGGGGUAAUGGCCUACCAAGGCGACGACGGGUAGCCGGCCUGAGAGGGUGACCGGCCACACUGGGACUGAGAUACGGCCCAGACUCCUACGGGAGGCAGCAGUGGGGAAUAUUGCACAAUGGGCGCAAGCCUGAUGCAGCGACGCCGCGUGAGGGAUGACGGCCUUCGGGUUGUAAACCUCUUUCAAUAGGGACGAAGCGCAAGUGACGGUACCUAUAGAAGAAGGACCGGCCAACUACGUGCCAGCAGCCGCGGUAAUACGUAGGGUCCGAGCGUUGUCCGGAAUUACUGUGCGUAAAGAGCUCGUAGGUGGUUUGUCGCGUUGUUCGUGAAAACUCACAGCUUAACUGUGGGCGUGCGGGCGAUACGGGCAGACUUGAGUACUGCACGGG
rnacentral:rRNA from 1 species